AUGGUCACUAAUAUUCCGUUGGUACGUCUGAAGAUCACAAUAACUAUUCUGUCACACUCAGAGCGAUGCCCUGUAUGUGUAAGGUGAGCUGCUUCUCCUCUAUUCAGAUUCUGCAGAGGAAAAUGGUCCAGAAUACCAUCAGUAAGGAAGGUGGAAUACUCUUAAGUCUUCCAGUAACAUUUCAGGAGAUAUUAAGAAACAGCAGUGAGCCAACAGUCUUCACAGUUAAGCAUUUUUGAAUACUUCAGAUAAAAGAACAAUGCUGUUUUGGUAAGCAUUCUUUCUGAACUGCAAUCUAGUGCCUAACAUGCUCUGAAGCUGUGUUUUCAGUGUUGUGAUGGAUGUUUUCUGGGACAGCUUCUGACUUGUUACAUACUAUCUACAUUAUCCAAGGCCUGCUUCAGAUGAAGGGAUGGACACACUGGAUUGGAAAAAACAAGAGUGCAACUUCAUUUAGCAAGAAUAACUGCACGAGAGAAGCAGGCAGGCGAUCCUUGCCAAGUUUUCAUCUUGGUGUUUCACCAUGCGACAACCUUCAGGCCAGUAAGCUCCCACUGGGGUUUGAAAGAACUUUUGGAGCUUUGAAAGACAAAAGCACCUCUUCAGA
rnacentral:lncRNA from 1 species